rnacentral:lncRNA from 1 species
CUGUAGAACCUUGAGAUUCUCUGUAACUUUAGCCAACUGUUUGAGUACAUCCCCCUGAGAGACCCUGGGCCAGAACCGCCCAGCUAAGAUGCUCCUGGCUUCCUGACCCUCAGAAACUUUAUUAGGAAGUAAUAAAUGUUUGUUGUUAGUCAGCAAUGAACAAUUCUUUCAAUAAUAUACAAGACGUUUUAUAAGAGGUCAAAGGCAUUGAUUAAAAACUGAUUAAUGGGCAGACCCAAACAAUAUGAGCAUGAAACCCAGGAGAAAGGAAUCAGAGUUGGCUGGGAAAAUUAGAUUUAGCUGUAAUGGACAAGUAGAAUGAGGCAUAACUGACUAUAUCUUCUGGAAAAAUAUAGCUACUAACAGAGAGAUAAAGAAACAGUCACUUUCAGAGCACUUUGUAUAUUAUUUAUUCUUUACAAAAAUUCUGUGGUUCUGUGAUAUACAUUGUUAUCUUCAUUUUACAGGGAAUGACACUGAAGGUCAGAAGUCGAGACACCUGCUCAGAAUCACACAGAUGGUAGAUGACAGAGCUCCAAUCAGAAAACUCGAGCCCGUCUGACUCCCAAAUUCACUGUCUUUCUGCACUUCUGUGUGCUACCGUAAAGAACAGGAAGAUGCAUUCAACCAGGGAGGUCGUAUUGGGAGAUGAACCUUCAGGGCAAGCGGCAUCUUCAAUCUGCGGAAGUUAAAGACUGAGAAAAACAGAGAAAAUCACCACAUUUAGUCAAGAUUCCUUGCCCACAUCCUGAAAAAGGCAUUAUUUUAAAAAUUGAAUGAAUAACCGAACACAAGUGAUUUAUCCUUCCCUGCAUUGUGAUAUUUGGAACAAAACUGAAAAGGAAAAGAUGCUAUUAGGUAUUGAAUGCAUAGUGUAUACCAGGUACAAUUCUCAACAUGUCAACUGCAUCGUGAUUCAAUUUUCUCCUACAACAAUCCUAGCAAUCCUUUGCUGUGAGUAUCUUGGUUCCUAUUUUACAGAUAAAGUUUAGAGAAUUUUCAUAGUUUUCAUAGAGCUGACAAAUUGAAAAGUCAGAGUUUGAACACAUUUCUGCGUGGCUCUGAAACUUGUAAUCUUAACCACUGCACUUGUCAACAUCUGUUGAGGACGAUGUUCAUGGGGUGUGUGAUGGUUAAUUUUAUGUGACUAGGCCAUGAUACCCAGAUAUUUGGUCAAGCGCUUUUAGAUGAAAUUAACAUUUAAAUCAGUGGACAUUGAGUAAAACCAAUUACGUUCCAUAGGGUAAGUGGGCCUCAUCCUAUCAGUUGAAGGCCUUAAUAGAACAAAAACUGAAGUCCUAGAAGAAGAAGAAAUUCUGCCAACAGACGGACUUCUGACUUGAAACGCAACACUGACUGCUCCCUGAGCCUCCAGCUUGCCAGCCCACUCUGCAGAUUUUAGAUUUGCCAGCCUUUGUAAUCACAUGAAGCAAUUCCUUAAAAUAAAUCUCUCUUUCUAUAAAUACA